rnacentral:rRNA from 1 species
UGGGGAAUUUUGGACAAUGGGCGAAAGCCUGAUCCAGCAAUGCCGCGUGUGUGAAGAAGGCCUUCGGGUUGUAAAGCACUUUUGUCCGGAAAGAAAUCCUUGGCUCUAAUACAGUCGGGGGAUGACGGUACCGGAAGAAUAAGCACCGGCUAACUACGUGCCAGCAGCCGCGGUAAUACGUAGGGUGCAAGCGUUAAUCGGAAUUACUGGGCGUAAAGCGUGCGCAGGCGGUUUGCUAAGACCGAUGUGAAAUCCCCGGGCUCAACCUGGGAACUGCAUUGGUGACUGGCAGGCUAGAGUAUGGCAGAGGGGGGUAGAAUUCCACGUGUAGCAGUGAAAUGCGUAGAGAUGUGGAGGAAUACCGAUGGCGAAGGCAGCCCCCUGGGCCAAUACUGACGCUCAUGCACGAAAGCGUGGGGAGCAAACAGGAUUAGAUACCCUGGUAGUCCACGCCCUAAACGAUGUCAACUAGUUNUUGGGGAUUCAUUUCCUUAGUAACGUAGCUAACGCGUGAAGUUGACCGCCUGGGGAGUACGGUCGCAAGAUUAAAACUCAAAUGAAUUG